rnacentral:tRNA from 1 species
UGGGACGUCGCCAAGUGGUAAGGCUGUGGAUUUUGGUUCCACCAUUCAAAGGUUCGAGUCCUUUUGUCCCAG